UACGGAGGGGGCUAGCGUUGUUCGGAAUUACUGGGCGUAAAGCGCACGUAGGCGGCUUUGUAAGUUAGAGGUGAAAGCCCGGGGCUCAACCCCGGAAUAGCCUUUAAGACUGCAUCGCUUGAACACGGGAGAGGUGAGUGGAAUUCCGAGUGUAGCGGUGAAAUGCGCAGAUAUCGGGAGGAACACCAAUGGCGAAGGCAGCUCGCUGGGACGGUACUGACGCUGAGUGAGCGAAAGCCAGGGGAGCAAACGGG
rnacentral:rRNA from 1 species